UACGAAGGGUGCAAGCGUUACUCGGAAUUACUGGGCGUAAAGCGUGCGUAGGUGGUGAGUUAAGUCUGUCGUGAAAGCCCCGGGCUCAACCUGGGAAUGGCGAUGGAUACUGGCUCGCUAGAGUGCGGUAGAGGAGAGUGGAAUUCCCGGUGUAGCAGUGAAAUGCGUAGAGAUCGGGAGGAACAUCAGUGGCGAAAGCGGCUUCCUGGACCAGCACCGACGUUCAGGCACGAAAGCGUGGGGAGCAAACAGG
rnacentral:rRNA from 1 species